CCUACGGGAGGCAGCAGUGAGGAAUAUUGGUCAAUGGGCGAGAGCCUGAACCAGCCAAGUCGCGUGAAGGAUGACGGCCCUACGGGUUGUAAACUUCUUUUGUCAGGGAGCAAUUGGGUCCACGCGUGGGCUUAGCGAGAGUACCUGAAGAAAAAGCAUCGGCUAACCCCGUGCCAGCAGCCGCGGUAAUACGGAGGAUGCGAGCUUUAUCCGGUUUUAUUGGGUUUAAGGGGUGCGUAGGCGGAAUAUCAAGUCAGCGGUAAAGAUUCGGGGCUCAACCCCGUCGUGCCGUUGAUACUGGUGUUCUUGAGUGGGCGAGAGGUAUGCGGAAUGCGUGGUGUAGCGGUGAAAUGCAUAGAUAUCACGCAGAACUCCGAUUGCGAAGGCAGCAUACCGGCGCCCAACUGACGCUGAAGCACGAAAGCGUGGGUAUCGAACAGGAUUAGAUACCCUUGUAGUC
rnacentral:rRNA from 1 species